rnacentral:lncRNA from 1 species
GUUUCAGUUGGAGAUAAGGCUUUUCCUUAUAAAUGUGAAAGACUAUAAAAAAGAAUGAAACAUAUUGAGAGCUUGCACCAACUAAGCAAUGCCAUCUGGCAUAAACACAACUGAAAUUAAUUUUUUAACCUAAGAAGAAUUUUAUUUAUAUUGAAAUAAAAGGUAAGAUUAUAAAAGUAAAUAUUUUAAUAUUUAGGUAUACAGUCUGCAUUUUACUAAGAAUCUGAUUAAUGUAAAAAGUUAAAGGCUAUAUGAUAUACAUACAUGAAUUUGACUGAUGUAGUUUUUCAGUUCUCUCAGUGUCAUUUUGAAAUCUAAUAUCACUGUGAGAAUUAUGAAACGCUUAGCAGCUAGUUAUCUUGAUAUUAAAUCCAACCAACUAAAAUCUGAGAGUAAACACACAGUAUUUCUGAUAUUCAUACUUUAAUUGUUUUUUUCUUAAAUCAAGCUUAUCUCAUAAAACCUAGUCUUUUGUUUGGAUAAUCCUGCUGACUUACUGUUACUAUUUAUUCUAAUAUACAGCAAACUGAUUCUUAGUACAUUAUGCCCCCAAAUUAGAGAAACUUUCAUUAGAAAUAUUAGAGAAACUUUCAUGAGAAAUAAUUUCAGUACAAGAAUUAGGAUGGGAUACAACAGUGUUCAUUAAAGACAAUACAGUGGUUGACAGCAGUUGUAGGAAGCAUUUCUUAAAAACUGGAAGCAUAUAUAAAUAGCGUGAAAAAGUGACUAUUUUCCAAACAAGUACCCAUGGAAAAAGUCAUUUAUAUAAAGAUUGUAUAACUUAAUAUACUGGAAUAGUUACAGAAUUACAUAAUUCUAAGAAUACCUUUACCCUUGUUUCUGAAGAAUAUUAACGUGAAAAAUAUUUUGGCAUUAACUGGUACAAUAAUUACUUACCUGUUUCUUGUACAGAACCAACUUAAUAACUACAGGGUUAUCUUAUUUUUAUGUGUAGUCAGAAUCAAAAUGGAAAACUUUACGAAGCCUCAAUGAAAAGAAGUCUCUUGGAAACUUGGAAUUUUAUAAUAAGGUAGUCACCCCAUUCUAAAAACAAGAAUGUACAUGUGGGAUUCUUUAUAUAAAACUAAAAGAUGAAGCAUUUAAAAAAAUGUUUAAGAAAAGUUAGUUCACAUCUUGUUUUAAAAAGCAAUGUUAGAGACCCUUGAUAAGAACCUACUUUUAAGUAUGUAGUUAAGUUUUAGUAUGAAAAUCUGAAAUCAAGCAUAUUGUAUGAUAGGCUAUUUUUCACUUGAAAGGUAGUAAAAUGGAAGAUCUCCUUACUGUGUUGCAUAUACAAAUCCUUGAGGAGUCUUUACAAAUAAAAAUUAAACUUUCAAAAAAAUCUAAAAUCUUUUUAAAACCUAAUUCACUGUCAUUUUAGAUGAUUUCUGCAUCCAGAACUAUUAAAAUGCUUUAAAAAUGCUUUAAGUAUAAUAAUGAAUGUAAAAAACAUUUCUUCCUUUUCCUUCCCUUCAACCCAAAAUCAGAAGUCUUCAGUACAACUUUCAAAAAAGUAGAACAUACCAGUAAAAAUAAAGUAAGAAACUAUUUUCUUUUUAAUCAAAACAGCAAGUAUU